GUUUGCAGCUCGAUCAGAACUUUCGUCUUGCUGUCACCUUUCGUGUCUCUUGUCCCUUCAUUCCUCUCCAUCUAGGUUCCCUGCCCAGGUUGAUGUGUCCUGCCGGACGGGACAUUUGGCACCCAGUGUGGGGCUCAAGCCUUUGACUGAGGGGGAACGCCGUCCUCCGGGAAGACUUGGCCAAGCGGGAGCUUGAGAUCGCCUCGGCAGACACGACCGAGAGACAGAUCCGGGAGGAGAGCGAGGACGACGCAAGAGCAAUUCAUCCUGCCAUUGUAAGUGCUCUCACAUGGCGGGGGAACAAAAGUUUCUACUGGUUGAUUUGGACAUCACCAAGUUGCUUUCUUCAAAAUGCUGAAGUCUACUUUGAUAUCCAUGAGAUAAUUUUGAGUACUGGUGAUCGAACCUAGGGUCUUAUGCCUACCAGAUAAAUGUUCUACCACUGACCCAUAUCCCCAACCCCAUGGAUGAUAAUUCUAAUAGGUAUUUAUUGAACUCUUGCUGUGUGACAAGCACUGUUCAAAACUUCUGUUACAUUUAAAUAAGGUAUUCUUCACAACAAUUCUGCAAAGUAAAUGUCAUCAAACUCAAAGCAAUUACAAAAUUUGUUCACGGUCAUACAGUUAUUGAAUAGCAGUACUGCAUUUCAGCUUCAGGCAGUAUGACUUCAGAUUAAUUUCUCAAAAUCACUAUAUAUGUCAAGUGAAUCAAUCAAUGAUUCACUUAUUUUUCCAUAGAUAAUCCUUAUCUCUCUACUCAUAUUUUCCAGUUUUGAAACAUCAACUGAUUUUGUCAAGUAGAAAAAGCUUUAAGAUGAACACAUUAAAUUUUUGUCAAAUUUAAAUAUAGCUAACAUACACAGUGUUUAUUCUAUGCCAAGGACUGCUCUAAGGACCCAUUCAUUUGCCUUAUGCUUCCUGAAUAUUAUUCCUAUUUUCGAGUUA